AGAGAAGGUUCACAAUGCUGAAAUUCACAGGCUUGGCUUGGGGGAACAUCAGUCACAGUUCAGUGCUGGCUCCUUGCAUUCAGGACCAAAUCUCAGGAUGAGGAGGCACCAAUGAGCAAUACAUGGAAACCACAGAAGCAGAGCGAGGGCACAAAAUAGCUGGCCAGUGGUACCGGCACCACAGAGGACAGACACUCUGCACAGAACAGGUCACCUUCUCUCAGCUGGCAGUUCAUGUGGACUUCAAUGCCCUGCAGUCACAGUGUGGGUGCUCAGGGUGGGGCAGCAGAGAAAGACUUCUUUACAAGAGCUCAUUUUGGAAUAGGAGUCAUCACCAUCAGGAGCUAGAGCAGAAUAGAGCACCUUCCAGGGGCCUUGGAAGGACACAUUCCUCGCUUGGGGAAGCUCAGCUUUCUAGAGGACCUGCUGGGACAGACCAGAGGCUUGCAGCUAAGAGUUUGCCUUAAAUCUCAGAGGAGACUUGGGACUUGGACUUUUCUGCAGUGCUGAAACUGUUAGGACUUUGGCAACUCUUGGAGACAGACUAAAUGCCUUUUGCAUAAAGGGCUACACCUAGCCUAAGGGAUUGAACCCAGAGCCUCGGGUACGCUUCCGACAGACAAUUGAGAUGCAAGUAUGUAACAGUUCGGAGCGCUGGAGUGGCAGCCCGUAGCUUUGCCUACAGAUAAGAUUCGGGAGAACCACAAAGCACCGUUGUUCAGCACAGCCAAGCUUUCCCUAAGGAACGACCACCUUCAGUCACACCAAUGAGCUGUCGCUGAAGAUUUUCUUUUGUGUGGUUUUUCUGAAGACAAUCUUGGUCUGUUUGACGUUAUUUUUCAGAAGUUAUCUCCAAAAAGGGUAGCAUCCAGUCAGGAGGACUUAGGGAUACUAUUACAUUCUUUGAGGAUCAAGAAAUGCUUCUGAUUAGCUUGGAGUUGAUGACAACUGAGGCCAGAGGAAGUAAGGACCUUCGGCAAUCUGCUAAGACACACACGUCACACACAAGUCUGUCAAUAUUAGUCACUGCAAAAACUGAAAGGACAAUUUUGUUGGUGACACAGGUGAAGAGAUGAUGCCAGCAGUGUACUCACAUCCUUGCCUGCACCUCCUCCCAGGUCCAGGUUACCCAGCGGUGUGGCCAAAGCCUUCUCCAGCUGUGAUCUGAUGCACCAACUAUCUACCAGCUGGUGUUUGGCAGUGAGAGGACAGCAGCAGUUUCUCCUUGUGGUAGGAGCUGAGUGCACAUGGUACGCCUUUUCUCUCUGCUUUCACAAAAAUCUGUCUGUGUCUGUCUGUAACCAUCCGUCUCCCCCAAGAUUGCUGCAUCAUCUUGACCAUCAUGACCAAUUCAAUUUGUGUGUGUGUGUGGGUGUUUGUGUGUGUUUUGAGGUCCAGGCCUUUGCAUUUGGCUACAGCCCAACCUUUUUAUAAAGUUCUUAAGUUUGAAACAGGGUCUUGCUAAAUUGCCCAGGCUGGGCUCAAACUUGCAAUCCUCCUGCCUCAGCCACUCAGAGUGCUGGGAUCAUGGACGUAAUUCUCCAUGGCCUUGUUCUGUAUCGGGAACCUCUGCAGUGAGCCUCCAGUCUCCUGCCAGGUGUGACAGGGCAUGGUGAGAGGGAAAGAAAGAGCAAGAGACAAAGUGGCAGUGCAUCAGGGAUGGGGAUCACAGGUUGUUCUUGAGGAACAAAAGCCAGGAUGCAGUCAGAAUCUUGGCGUUUAUUGAUCAAAGAGGGGAUCUGAGGAGGGGAUUAUCAAAUGACUCAAGAGGACAGAGAUGAUCACAUGCUAAGAAGCAUCUUGCCCUGGAGUGUCUAUAGUCUUAGUUUUAGCCUUAGUGGGUAGAAGAGGAUGGCCCAUCCCUAAAGAAAUAAUGAGAAGUCUCCACAGGAUAAUAUCAAGAUUUCCAAGCCUAUGUUUAUCCCUUCUCGAAGUAUGCAAAAUUAGUUAUUGUGAAUUGGUGGUCCCCACCAAUUGUAGAAUUUAUCUUGUACUAAUCAAAACCAUGAGAUUGGACUCCCUGCUGAUCCUUGGGUUCUUUCAGGCAGUACACAAGUGUAGACAGACAUCACAGCUAAUCAACCACCUAUUAGAACAGAACACACAGUACUGGCUGCUGGAGUUUCCAAACAAGGAUCUCUUGAACAAAGGGGUGAACAAACUCCCCAAAGUUUGAGAGCUGAGCAGAAGGGCAGAGUAGGCAGGCAUCAGGGCGGCUACUGGACAGCUGCUGAAAACCCACCUUCACCCGCUGUGUGCAAUGGGGACCAGGGUUCUGACUUCCUAAUGGCAAACGCUUAUGAUUUGUGAGUUGAGGACAACCUGUUCCUUAGGCAGUAUUUUGCUUCUAAGUUAGAGGAAAAGUAAUCCAAAAUUAGUUUUAGAAAUUCAUUGUAGUAUCAAAGAGCAUACCUGUUUUUGAAGUAUUAUGUGCACCCAAAGUAAUAUUUUAAAUAGGAGACUAGUAUGUUCUAGAUUAAGCAGAAAUAAGUAUCUUUGCAUAGUGUUCCAAAGCUUCCCUGUGUGCUGGAAAUCACCUCGUGCACUUCUUUGCAUAGUGUAUUUUUCUUUCAUUCUGCUUUUUUCUUGGUUUGAUAAUCGGAAACACCAUGUCCAUCACAUGAGUAAAAUUUGGAUAAAAAUACCACCCAGUUGUAAAUGUACAACAUUGUUAAAAUGCACUCUGUGUGUUCUCAUGAAAGCUAUUCACCCCAAAACCUUACUCCAGCCAGCAACAGGAUUCAAAUGCUAAUGUUAGAUAAAAAAAGUUUUUUUUGGAGACAGGGUCUCACUAUGUAGCCCAGGCUAGCCUUGAACUCACAGUGAUCCUCCUACCUCUGUCUCCUGAGGGCUAGGAUUACAGGCAUGCACCACCACACCCAACCUAGAAUUAGAUAAAAUUUAAAGAGUUGUAUCAUAUGCCAAUUUCUUAAUUUUUCUUUCAUGUUAAGCUUAUUCUCUAAUUGUUCCUUUCUUCCAUUUACAUUCCACUGGGCUCAAAAAUUCCACUGGGCUCAAAUAAGAGGAAAUCAGAUAACUAAAAAGAAAUUAAAGAGAAUGCAAUAGAUAAAUGUUUUCUAGACGUUCAGAGAAGGCUGAGUGCACCUGCCAUGUGUUUGCAUCUACUAAGGAGCUGAGUGCUGAAUACUGAAUCCAAGAAUGGUGAUCGUGCUAGAUGACCACACUGUAGUCCAGAGGGUUUGGUCUUUCUCAAGAAAAUCUUCAUCCUUCAGAAGCUCAACCUGGGAUAAACAAAAAGAACUGAUUCAGCAAGUGAUGACAGGAGCAUUCUAGAUAUUUCUGAGGCUCCAUACCUGCUUUGCGGUGUCAGCUUCCCUGCUGUCAAGGGGCAUUCCCAGGAUGGCGCUCCCAGAAUGCUCUGUGAUCUACCUUGAGUAUUAAACACUUUGGGGAAGUGAAUCAGGAAAGAAAAAGCUUUGUCUCUGACUUUGGGGAGGGCAUGAGGGCUGCAAGAGACAAAUCCCAGAAAAUUUAAGUAUAAUUAGAAAGUCCCAGGGAUUGUGGGCAAGACCAUCUGGAAUAAAGUAGGGCCUGGGGAGCAAAAUAUUCCUAUAUCAGGAGAGUCCAAGUGCAGCUUAUUCUUGACUACUUGGGUUUAAACUUCAUCACUGCUAUUUAUAUUUAAUGUAUACUUAAUGUGCAACUUUAGUUAGAAAAGCUGAUUAUGUCUAGGAAAAAUGGAAUAUACAGUGCCCACUUCAUUAGUUCUGUGGAUUAAAUAAGAUAAUAAUUAGAAAGUGAUUAGCCUAUCUAGAACAUGAUAUAUGCAGGCAGUGUUGUUGUCACUGCCUGCAUAUAUCAUGCUCUAGAUAGGCUUUUUGUUUUUUAACAUACAAGAUGUGCUUUGGGAGAGACCUGUCUACUAUUUGCACAGUGCUGUUGCAGCUGAUAGCCCAGGGCAUUAGCAGUGUUUUGUUGCUGUGGUAGAAGGGAGGGCACCUGCUUCCCUAAAAAUCCCUGGUGCUGUGGGAAAUUAGAGAUUGGUCCAGGGAUGGAAACUGGACAUUCUCUGGGUAAUCCUGAGGCUGUGGCCACUGCUGCAGGUGAUGUACCCACUCAUUUGCCUGCUAUCCAGCAGCAUACUGAUAAGAGGGCCUCUGCAGUUCCUGCUGCUGCCCCACUCCCCACCCACUGAAGACACAGAGGAAAAAGAAGCCUGCAGCUUGCUGGUCACUCUGUGACUCAUAACCUACACUCUGAAGAUACUGCCCAGAUGCAGUAGAACAAAUAAAAGUGGCUGGUGUGAAGUUGGAAGGUCCACUUCCUAGGUUAUUUUUAUAUGCUGGAGCACAACUUGAUUGCAUGUUAUUGCCCAUGGCUCCAAAGUCUCAUGACCCCAACCCAUCCACUAGGAACCCCUAUGUGUCUGAGGAGAGAAGCCAGCUCUGUCUAGAACAGCUUCCUGCCAUGAAAGGGUUGCACCUCAUUACUUUUGUAGCCUGGGACAGGAUGCACCUUGGACAGGUAACUCAUGACGUCUCCCCAGGGGUGAGGGUUCUAUGGCUCCCUGGGUGGUAGUCAGCUCUUCUAUUUUGGAUUUGUCAGUAACAUGCAGGUGACAGUGGGUUUGAUUGCCUGAUUCUUCCUUGGCUAUGAAGUCAGGGUAAGGAUUCUGUUCAAAUGAUGGAUAUAGGCUAUCCAGUACAGCCUUCAUAAAUUUGUCAUCGUUUUCCUCUUUCAUGUCUUGUUCCUCUUACAUUGUUCUGUUUAUUUUCCCCAGCUGAAGGUCCACUGGCUUCUAUGAAGAUUUCCAGUGUGGGGUCUCUUGGGCAUUGCUGUGGCCUUUCUUCUCUCUGGGUGUUCACAGACUGUGUGGUCACUGGACAGGUCAAGAUCUUUCUAAUGCUACCUCAGCACUGGGCCUUUGGGGUGCUAGGGUAGCCCUUGGCCUCUGAUGCUACUGCGAUGCAGGUGCUACUACAGUUCACAGUCUCUCUGAGUGACCAGUGUUGCUGUCAUUAAUGCCAUAGAUAAAACAUUUGAUCCAGGAAUUGCCUCAUUUAAGAAAGGUAACUUUCCAUAUGCCUGUAAUUUCAGCAUGGGAGGUUAAAGCAGAAGGGUUAUAGUGAGUCCAAGGUCAACAUGGGCUACGUAGAGUUUCCACUUGUUAUGGUUUGUGCCCAGUUGUCCCCUCAAACCCUCAUGCAGUCUGGAAAUGGUUGAGUAUACGUUUUUGAUUGGUUCAUUGUCUAGUGCUGGGAUUGGUGGUGUGAGUGCUGCACCUGCCCAGGGGCGGGUAGUCAGCAUACAAUAUAAAGAAGGAAAGGAGGGGUGCUUUCCCCUUGUUUCCUUUUUGCCCUUGUUGCUUUCUUGUCUUCUGUGGCCUGAAUGUGUUGCCCCUGUGCCAGGCCACUCUGCCUUGGAGCCAACUGAGUAUGGAUUGAAACCUCCAUGAUCUGUGAGCUAAAUAAACCUUUCCUUCCUUAAUUUUGGGUGUUGGAUAUUUUGUCCUAGCAGUGAGGAAAAAAGUAACUGAGACACUCUCCCCUCAAGCCAAAAUGUCACUGAGUAAUUCUAACAUUUCUAUUAUCAGCAACUUUUUUUCUCAUUGCCAGUUGCAGUUUCCUUUUAUUACAAAGUAAUAUGUUUGCACAGCAGUAUUCCUAAACCAAAGAUUGGUAUGCCAAGGAGGAACAUGGAUUGUAGCUAAGCUCUGCCAAGGGCUGUGCCAGGCAUGUGUGGCAUCCAGAGCAGUGUGGGGCCAAUUAAGACUUCUGGCUGCAGGCAGGGAUGGGAGGGGCCUCCCAUACAGCCACCUGUGGCUGCGUGGAGACUCCUGACUCGGGAGCUGACUGCAGUGGCUGUGCCAGGCGCCCACCUUAGUUUUGUCCCACACUUCUGAGUAAACAGCAGUUAUUGGAAGAACAUGCAGGAUGGUGCUGGAUGUAGAUUAUCCCUUCUUCAGUGAGACUGGAGAGAGGGGGUCUAGUUUCCAGUAGAUGCUCAUUAGAAUUUAGUGAACUGUGUGUUUGGAAGGGAGUAAUACUUGGACAGAGGUUAGAUUGCUUCUUUUUCUUGAAUCCUUUUGCAAACUCUAUACCAGUUAAGACAGUGUGCUCCUGGAAGAAUUCUUUAAAUUGGUUGUAUAGUGCAAUAUAGUAAAAAAUUACACUUGUCCCGGUCACUUCUUAGAGAACAUUCAGUUCUUUAUUGCAUUGACUUCCCACUGUUCUGCAAAUUAGUCACCUGGGAAACAUGAAAUGAGUAGUCCUCUGCUACUGGUCCCCUGCUAAAGGACCAUUUCCAGGGGUGAAGACUGGCAAUCAGUUCUUGAAAAUUCUCCCAGGUAAUUCUAAUUGAUGAAUAGGAUUGAGAAUCAUUGCUUUACUAGUGACUUAGAAUAGCUUGACAUGGAUGGCAUUAUUUUGCUAUGGGAGUCUUUCAGUAUCAGAGUUUGUCCAAGUUGCCUAGCUUCCCUGUCACCAAAUAUUUAAUAUUUACAGUUAUGAUUACACCUGCAUAUGAAUUCUGCUGAGCUAGUCCAUAAAUAUUCCCUCUAUAUACCUUAGUCACUAUAUCUACUUACACUUUAAAAAGUAGCAUCAUAUGCUCCAGCCACACCACUUUUUCUGUCUAUGAAUCACUCUGGACUUUCAGAGAAAUAAUCGUAGGCCUCUCCUGGGUCAGACUCUCCAAGUUUUAUCUGUGUAUAAAGUUAGGAUGUCAUAAAGUGGCAUAUUUAUGGUAAACUUCCCUUCUGUAUUAAGUUUAAAGACCAACUAAUCCCCACCCUCCAUAAAGAUGAAUGUAUAUGAGCAACAUCAAUUUGAAAAUAGUGCUUUUACUGUUAGAAUUCAGAUAUGACCUUCCUGGGACCAACUGAUGACUUUCAACCAACUUUAGCAAUUUCAACUCUCAGUCCCUAGCCUGCUUCUGACUCAGGAGGCUUCAGCAAAAAGAGAUGGAGAUCUUUGCCUUCGUAGAAUUUACAUACCAGUAGGGAAAAAGAGACCAGAAGCAAAAUAAGUGAGCUAAAAAGUAAGAUGGUGAUAUAUAUUUCAGAGGGAAAAAUAAAGACAGUUGAGAUGACAGAAUGGUAGGAAGUUUACUGUUAAGUGUGGUUAGCAGCAAAGGAUUCAGAGGUGGUAUUUUGCACAGAAAUGGAUUGGCUGGAGAGAACAUGACCGGAGAACAGGAAGGUCACUGCUUGGCGUUGCUGGUGAGGAACUGCAGCAGUUUUUGGAGUGGAAGGAAGAGAGAGAGAGAGAGAGAGAGAGAGAGAGAGAGAGAGAGAGAGAGAGAGAGAGGAGAGAGAGAAAGUUCCCUUGGUCCUGGUUGGAGCAUUUCUCCCAGGAGCUCCUGUUCUGAAGCUGUAUCCCCACUGGAGGGUGGGAAGAGGGUGGAAACUCAGUCUGACUGUGGUUCAGAGGUGGAGCUUUUAGGAAGUGAUCAAGAUUAGAUAGUCAUCAGGGUGCAGUGCCCAUGCCUGACUCUUGCUGGCUUUAUAAGAGGAGACAGGGAAGAGAACAUACUUCCCGCCUCUUGUCAUGUCACCCUGGCACCACCUUGAGACUUAGCCUGUGAAAAGGUCAUCCCUGGACAUAGCCUCUCAACAUUUUACCUCUGUAACUGAAUCAAAACAAACUGCUUUCCAUUACAGCGUGUGGUGCUGUGUUUUUGGAAUAGUGAAGUUGGAGGAACUUUUAACUUCCGUGGGUAAAGGUAUAGAUGAGGCGGGUAACGUCACCAUCAGGGAGAGCAAUGCGUGCUGUGUGGCUGUCAGAUGCCUGCUUGGACUGGGUGUCUUCGUGGGUCCUCAGGAGCUGUCAGAGUUCUGCUGCUCCCAGGGACCCUUCAUUCUUGCUAAGCGGCUUCUUCAAUUUGCAGAUGGCGGGAAAUAGUGAAAAGGCAGAUUCAGAGCUGGCGUCUUUUGGCAUGUAAACUUCACGAUGGCAAAGAGUUCUGUGUUCUUGGUCUGUUGGGUGUCCCUGGGAGUCAGAUGGGUGCCUGGAGCAUUACACAGCUACUGCACAGCGAGUGUUGAAUGAUUUCUAAUCAGUCAGCAUCCCUGCUGUUCUUACUGAAGAGGAGUUAACUGAGAUUCAUCAGCUUGCUUUGAGUUAAAAAGACUGAUUUGUGGCGGUGCUAUUUAUUGACCUUUCUUUUGUAACCACAAUGCUAUUUUAAGAGUGAGGACAAUUGGUCAUAUUACAAUUGUUGCACUUAAAAUCCUCUACUUGUAUUAGAUGCUAUCUUGUUUUUUGAAGAAAGGAGAGCCUGUAUUUGAUUUUCCUACACAUGACAAUGGUAUGCCUCCAUAGGUAGUCUUUAUAAUUGACUUUAUAAUUGAUACAGAUGUUUAUAUACCUAGUCAUAUAGUAAUUGUUAGUAUUUCAAUAAAGUUUCUCCAUUAAAUAUCAAAAAAUUAUUAUUGAUCUGUAUUUAGAAUUCUUUUUGUUGACUUAAAUUUUUUUAUUUUAAAGAUAAUAAAAUCCAACAAAACAAAAAAGAUUAAAGCCAGUCAAAACAAAGCAGUGAAACCAGCAUAGAACUUUAAAGCAGGGUGACAGGAAAACAACAAUGACCACCAUAGUGUAACUUGUUUAUAAUAGUUGUCUAUUCCAUCAGAUAUAGCAAAAUCAAGCCAAAAACAGAACAGUAAAAACCAAUCAAAACAAAACAUUGAAUAAAGAAAAACCAUCAGAACAAAACAAAACAGUGAGAACAAUAUUGGACCUCAAAAACAAGAUAGAAGGAAAUCACCCAUAUUUGCUAUAUUAUAUACUAUCAUCCCAGCGGAUGCUCAGACCAUCAGCCCCAGGCCUGAAAAGUUAACCAAACAAUACAAGCACUCAGUUACUUUUUGUCUAUCAGUUAUUAUCAAUUCAGCCUGUCCUCUGAACCAGCUGGUUGCUUGGGGAAGGGUCCUUGAUUCUCAGCCUGUGUGCUGGUAGGCUCACGGGCGGCUCUAGCCAACUUUUCUCUUGCUGAGCCCUGCAUAGUCUGUGUGGCUUACCAGAGAGGCUGGCUGGUUGGCUUCUUGGUGGGCUUCUCCCAGUCCCAGCAUGGCUGAUUCUCAGGAGGCGCUGACUGCUCUCUUCCUGGGCUGUGUAUGCCUUGCUGAUAUCACCUUUUGAUGUUAGGUGGUAUCAUACCAAAUUACAGCAAAUAUUUAAAUUAAAUAUUUAAAUUAAUAAAAGGCAUUGUCACUUAUCGCACUCAAAAUUUUUCCCAGUCCUUUGAGCAUGCUAAACCCAUUGUUCUUGCCACAUUUUAAAGUAGUUCUGGAGCUCUCUUUUGUGACUGUGUUUAGUGGUGCAGUUGAGGCUCCCUUGAGGUAUUGAAUCUAUUAAAAAAAUUUACUUUUCAGGGUCAUUUGGACUUAGGGGAAACAGCCAGAAGUCAUACAAUGCCAGAUCCAGCUGGGAAUUAUAGCAUUGUACCUUUUCCUGUAAUACACUUUUUAAAUUAAAAAAUUUACUGUAUAUUUUGAUCAUCUUGUAUUUGCAUGGCAUAGUUCCUCAGUUGUCUAUGUGAACCUGACCUUCUCUGUUUGAAUGUCCUUUCCUUGACUACCUUAUGGGGAGGAGGGAAUGGAAGGGAACAGAGAAAAAAAUGAGAAAAAUAAAAGGAUAAAAUGGAAACAAAGUUUUGUAAAUAGUGGAGGAGAAAGUGGAAUUAAGAUACAUCAUGUACAGUUACCAAUUCUGUGUGAUGAAUGUGAUUAUUAUGUAUAUCUAAAGUGUACCAAUAAAGUUAAUAAAAAACUUA